rnacentral:lncRNA from 1 species
GUGAAUUCCUUUUCUUCCUCUUUGCCCUCGAAAGUGCUUUUAUCCUCUUUACCGCGACUUCAGCCGUGCCAUAUUUGGCCCCAAGGGGUUGAAUUAUCCAACAACGAGUUCAUUCUUCUAGGCCAAAACUGGUGAUUCAAAAUAUGGGUCAAUUUCUUCACUGAUUUCUCUCGGCCGCGAUUUGUCUUCAUCGUGAUUGGCAUUGCUUGAACUAUCCAAUAGUGGGUUCAUUUCGGAAGCAAACAAAAAGUCAAAAUAUGGUUUGAUUCGAAGAGAUGAUGGAUAAAGGUAUUUUCCUCCCUCAUUUUAGCAUGAUACUGGUUUAGGGGUUAGGGACAAAGGUAUACUCUGUGAG